rnacentral:rRNA from 1 species
CCCUUAGAUGUCCUGGGCCGCACGCGCGUUACACUGAUACAUUCAACGAGCUUAUAACCUUGGCCGAGAGGCCUGGGCAAUCUUGUUAACGUGCAUCGUGAUAGGGAUAGAUUAUUGAAAUUAUUAAUCUUGAACGAGGAAUUCCUAGUAAACGCAGAUCAUCAAUCUGCAUUGAUUACGUCCCUGCCCUUUGUACACACCGCCCGUCGCACCUACCGAUUGGAUGGUCCGGUGAAGCCUCGGGAUUGUGGUUCUUGCCGCUUUAUUGUAGCGUGACCGCGAGAACUUGUCUAAACCUUAUCAUCUAGAGGAAGGUGAAGUCGUAACA